rnacentral:tRNA from 1 species
GGGAUUGUGGCUCAGUGGUAGAGUGCUUGCCUAGCAUGUAUGAGGCAUUGAGUUCCAUUCUCAGUACCA